AGGUAAAUGCUAUAUAAUUAAAACAUCCGUCGGAAGGCCUCAAGAUGUGGCUGACAGCUGUGGCAAAAGCUACGCAGGGUUGCACAACAAAAUGCAAGUCAUAGUCCCUUUAUGCUACACAAGAAAAGAAAAGAAAUGUAUGGUGGAGUACAGAGGAGUUGAGGAGUCUUACAGUCUGAGGAAAGAAGCUGCUCUGUGGACUGGUGGUACGACAGCAGACUUCUGUAUCGCUUGUUGGAUGGCUGCAGGGUGAUCAGGCUGUUGCUGGGAUGGACCCAGGAGAAUACUGGGACGCCUAAUCUGCUGCUCUACAUGCACAACUGCAGACACAAAACACCCAUACCUACAUCCUCGACAGCCUAAUCUGUUUAAGCAGAAUACAGCAGCUUAAAAAGCCUUUUUCCCCAAGUGCUGGGUGUACAGUAGGAUCUUUUUUGGAUGUCAACAAAGAGCACUACAAAACAA